CUUGUGCUGUACCCCACCCCAGUAAUAGGGGGAAGCAAAUGAUAAAAGUAAGCAAUUUUUAAAAUACGUAGAUUUAUGCUUUGGGGAACAAUUAGAGGGAAAACCACAAACAUUUGCUGAGACUAUUUUACUAAGAUUAAUUUGUUCUUCUAGAUGUCACUGCUCCAUUCAGGAAAGUGAAACUGCAGGAAGGUCUGUGUCCUGCCAAACAUUUUGCUCAGUCCUCCCUCAACCUUUAAUGGGAGUCUGGGACCAUGUUCAGUGUUACGGUAUGGGCAAAGCUUAAUUUGUAUCAGUCACGACUGAGCCUCAGCACCUCUGGCAGUUGAUGGCCCUGGCACUUAUGCCAAAAACCCAGAAGUUAUGAAAGCAAUUGCUUGAGCCUCUCUCAUUACAAGUCAUACACAGGGUCUCUCUCAUUACAAGUCAUACAUGCCAGCCAGGAGCUGCUCCUCACCUUAGAUCUGGUUCCCUCCCUCUAAGGAUGUCUUCUGGGAAUUGGACGCACCUGGGGAAGGCACUUUAGCUGGGCCAGUUAUGAGUGUGGUACAUCCACCACCUCCCUCACUAUCCUCCUGACUCUAUGGGAUCCACUGGAGGAAGAGAACUAAUGAGGAUCUUCUGCAGGAGCAGAUGGCCUGCCUCCAGUCCCUACAUCUGGGGUUCAACAAUGAGUGCCAGGAGCAGGCCACUAACUGGAAGGAGUCACCAGGCUGACUGGGAGCAGUGGAAGACUGCAUGGGUCCAUAACCUCAGUGAUUAAGCUAUGGCCCUGUGCAUGUAGUGGGCCACCAGCCACCUCCUUGCUCCACCUCCUGCCCCCCCUCCCCCAACAGCAUCCUCUCCUAGUGCCCCAGAACAUGGAGCAGUGGGACCUUGAGGGCAGUUGAAUCUUCUAGAGCUGACUGAGGCAGGUGCCCCUCUCAGCCCUCUUCCUGAGCCUCCCUCUCUCAUUUAAGUUCUUUUCCCAGCCCCUCCCUGUUUUAUAUCCCCCAAAUGAAGAGACUUAUUGUUUUUUUUUUUUAAAAAAAGCUUUUUUAUUUGAUC